rnacentral:rRNA from 1 species
UACGGGGCGAGCAGGCGCGAAACCUCCGCAAUGGGCGAAAGCCCGACGGGGCCACCCCGAGUGCCACCCUCGUGGUGGCUUUUGCGCGGUGUAAAAAGCCGCGCGAAUAAGCGGGGGGCAAGACGGGUGUCAGCCGCCGCGGUAAUACCCGCUCCGCGAGUGGUGGGGACUUUUACUGGGCUUAAAGCGCCCGUAGCCGGCCGGGUGUGUCCUUCGUUAAAUCCACAGGCCUAACCUGUGGGCUGCGGGGGAUACUACCCGGCUUGGGGGUGGGAGAGGGCGGCGGUAUUCCCGGGGUAGGGGUAAAAUCCACUGAUCCCGGGAGGACCACCAGUGGCGAAGGCGGCCGCCCAGAACACGCCCGACGGUGAGGGGCGAAAGCUGGGGGAGCAAACGGGAUUAGAUACCCCGGUAGUCCCAGCCGUAAACGAUGCGGGCUAGGUGUCGGGCUGGCUACGGGCCAGCCCGGUGCCGAAGGGAAACCAUUAAGCCCGCCGCCUGGGGAGUACGGCCGCAAGGCUGAAACUUAAAGGAAUUGGCGGGGGAGCACCACAAGGGGUGGACGUUGCGGCUUAAUUGGAGUCAACGCCGGAAACCUUACCGGGGGCGACGGCAGGAUGAUGGCCAGAUUGAAGGUCUUGCCGGACGAGCCGAGAGGAGGUGCAUGG